rnacentral:rRNA from 1 species
GAUGAACGCUAGCUACAGGCUUAACACAUGCAAGUCGAGGGGAAACGACAUCGAAAGCUUGCUUUUGAUGGGCGUCGACCGGCGCACGGGUGAGUAACGCGUAUCCAACCUGCCCAUCACUUGGGAAUAACCUUGCGAAAGUAAGACUAAUACCCAAUGAUAUCCCACGAGGGCAUCGGAAUGGGAUUAAAGAUUUAUCGGUGAUGGAUGGGGAUGCGUCUGAUUAGCUUGUUGGCGGGGUAACGGCCCACCAAGGCAACGAUCAGUAGGGGUUCUGAGAGGAAGGUCCCCCACAUUGGAACUGAGACACGGUCCAAACUCCUACGGGAGGCAGCAGUGAGGAAUAUUGGUCAAUGGGCGAGAGCCUGAACCAGCCAAGUAGCGUGCAGGAAGACGGCCCUAUGGGUUGUAAACUGCUUUUAUAAGGGAAUAAAGUGGGUCACGUGUGACUUUUUGCAUGUACCUUAUGAAUAAGGACCGGCUAAUUCCGUG